AGUAGCGCGCUACCAACAGCCCCCACUGUACUGAGAAUACCUCAGGAUCCAGGUCUUUUGCCACAACACCCCAGGCAACAUAAAGCUGUCGAGGUAAUUUGCCAAUUCGCCAUGGGCUUUGAGAGGUCUGGAGCUCCUAUUCCGGCACCGGAACAAACACCAUAACCAGCGUAUAGAUCGCCAAUAAAACGAGUGCAAGU
rnacentral:rRNA from 1 species